rnacentral:pre_miRNA from 1 species
AUCAUGUGGGGAAUCUUGUUAAAAUGCAGAUUCUGACCGAGAAAGUAGGGCCCGAGCUUCUGCAUUUUUAACAAGUUUCCACGUGAUGCCUA